rnacentral:rRNA from 1 species
CCCGCUGAACUUAAGCAUAUCGAUAAGCGGAGGAAAAGAAACCAACAGGGAUUACCUCAGUAACGGCGAGUGAACUGGUAAUAGCUUAAAUUUGAAAUCUGGCCUUUAUGGGCCCGAGUUGUAAUUUGUAGAGGAUGUUUCGGACGAAACCUGGGCUUAAGUUUCUUGGAAUAGAAUGCCAUAGAGGGUGAGAGUCCCGUCUGGCGCCUAUGGAAAAGUCUAUGUGAAACUCCUUCGACGAGUAGAGUUGUUUGGGAAUGCAGCUCAAAAUGGGUGGUAAAUUUCAUCUAAAGCUAAAUAUUGGCCAGAGACCGAUAGCGCACAAGUAGAGUGAUCGAAAGGUGAAAAGCACUUUGAAAAGAGAGUUAAACAGUACGUGAAAUUGUUGAAAGGGAAGCGCUUAUAACCAGACUUGUGCAGGGUGGCUCCCCUGACCUUCUGGCCAGGUUAUUCCACUUCGCCCAGGCCAACAUCGGUUUUGGUGGUUAGUAAAAGGCCCUAGGAAUGUAUCUUCCCUCGGGAAGACUUAUAGCCUAGGGUGCCAUAUGGCCUACCGAGACCGAGGAACGCGCUCCGGCUAGGAUGUUGGCGUAAUGGUUAUCAGCGACCCGUCUUGAAACACGG